rnacentral:rRNA from 1 species
GGCCUAACACAUGCAAGUCGAGCGGGGAGCAAUCCCAGCGGCGGACGGGUGAGUAACGCGUAGGUGAUGUGCCUCCAGGUGGGGAACAACCUCGGGAAACCGGGGCUAAUUCCGCAUACAGCCCGCAAGGGUGAAAGCCGUAAGGCGCCAGGAGAGCAGCCUGCGUCCCAUUAAUUAUUCCUAGUUGGUGAGGCAACGGCUCACCAAGGGUACGAUGGGUAGCUGGUCUGAGAGGAUGAUCAGCCACACUGGAACUGAGACACGGUCCAGACUCCUACGGGAGGCAGCAGUGGGGAAUAUUGCGCCAUGGGCGAAAGCCUGACGCAGCCACGCCGCGUGAGUGNUCUUUACCUUCGGGUUGUAAAGCUC